GUUCCACUUCCAUUGUUUUGAAUGCUUGCACAUGGAUUAGUUGCAAAGAGUUGACCUUAUGGAUUUGGGAAUUCUGAUGCUAGCGUGGUUUUACUUGGGAGUUGGGACUACAACCUCCAUGGCAGCUGCUAGUGCUUGUUUCUUGUACAUUCUUAGCACACAGUUUUCAGGAACUUCGUGCUUCGUAUUGUUUGUGAUCGGCUUUCCUUUCCUUCAACUUAUUUCAUCACUUUAAAGGUUAGCUAUGAAUGCGCGAUUUCUUUUCUUUGGUUUGAUGUUGUUGUUGAGAAUGACCUGAUUUUGUUUCCUAUUAUUGAAUUGCAUUGAAAUUCUGCUAUCGUUGUUUUGACUCUCACCAUCACCCUGCGGGAGUCAAUCAUUAAGGAGAUAACCGAAAACCAUUAAUAUGAUGCUGGCAAUCUGUUAUUAAGUCCUCAAUGUACCAAUUACAUUGUUGGUGAGUUUAUGCACCUUCUAUGACUCGAAUCAAUACCUAAAAAGGAGUUGUUGGGUGUACCAAUUGUUUCUCCAGUAUUGAUCUGUAUAGGUACCCUAGUUAUAUCUCAAUUGCUAUCCAAGAUAUAUGGAGCAUUUUCAAAUGUCAAUUCUAGCAUCUAGUGAGACCUUUAUGUUGCAAAUGGCUCUGAACAGCUAGCAGGCGUCAUCAACCUCAAUAUGCUACUCUGAUUACUUGUUUGAUAGUACUUGACAGUUUCAUCAAGAGAUCAUACAUAUAUUAGUCAUCCAUGGAGGAGAAGAGCAGAAUAAGGAGAUCAUUGGUAUCAUGCCAUGGUUUAAGGCUGCCAAGAAUUUUAUUUUCUCAUUAUGUGGUUUGAUAAAAAUUAUUGAUAUUGUAAAUUUUUUUUUUUAAAUUUAAAAUAUUGGUAAUCACCAUUAUUAAGAUGGAGCCACAUAUUUUAUAUUAAAAUAAUGCAAAAAUAAAGUCACCAAUAAAA